GGUCUGUGCUCAGUCAUGGCUGAUUUAGGGUCAGUGCUUUGAGUGGACUUUAAGUGGCGCUUGACGCUUCUAAAAAGCUCAGCAGAUUUUCUCAACCUGAAGCGGAAAUAUCGCAGACACAACUGUCCAAAGAAGCGCUGUCUACCUCUUCACUCCAGAGUGCCAUUCCCUUGAGGUUUCACGACUACACAACUAUCCUUAUGAUGCCUUAUCAAGCAUUAAGAAAACCAAAGACCAGCUUUGGGAAAUAAGAGAAGAGUUUCGUAUCCGACUCAGUGAGGACUGUUCUGUAACCAAGCCAUGCUAGUCACUUCUGUAAAGGGAGUGUAUUGUUUUAUGAAUGUUAGUGAUCAAGCCAUGGGGACAUUCACUGCAACCAAAGAUGCUGAAAACUCAUCGCUCAAUCAGUUUGAGUUUGCCAGAAUCAUUGUAAAUAGUAAGAACUGAAUGAAAUGUGUUUAUAUGUAAUUUAUGCACUUUAAAUGCUUUAUUAUUAUCUUGAUUAAAUAAAAAGUGUAUUGUCUUUUCAC
ensembl:lncRNA